GCGGAAGUGGCGGAAUGGCAUACGCGUAAGUUUCAGGAACUUAUGCCGCAAGGCUUGAGGGUUCAACUCCCUCCUUCCGCA
rnacentral:tRNA from 1 species